rnacentral:lncRNA from 1 species
AUGUCAAAGGAACCAUCUGAUAACAGUCUUCAUGCCAAACCUAACAGCUUUAUUGAAACAAGAAACUUUCACAUUAAAUUUCCAUGUGUUUUCUCUCCACACUCCUUAACUUCACUGCCCACCCUCCCUGUGCGUGUGUUUUCUUUUUUUUUUUUUUUUCCUCCAAAGAUAAGGCCUCUCUGCUUCAAAAACCAGAGAGAAACUGUUACAGAGGGCCAGCUGGGAUGUAGUCAAAUUAGUGGAUUAUUAUUACCUUGGGGACGUUGGAAAUCAGUUGAGGAUGGUCUUACUUCUCCAUGUUCUGAAACCAUUUUAAACCAAAACAAAAAACAGACAACCUUGCAGGAAACUCAGAGUAAAUAAAUAGUCCUUGUCUGUUAAGUGAAAUUGUUCCUUAAGGUGGAGAGACUGAGACAGGAUCCGCCAGAAGAUUACACACUAUGUACAUUAAUAGCAAAAUCAGCUAGAAGAUUGAGAGUUUCUACCAUUAGGAAACAUACACAAAUACCAUCACACCCAGAAAAACCCAUCGAAGCUGUUUUGUCAAAAGUGUGCCUGAGAGGUAGGGGCUGGAAAAGAUAAAUGCAAACUGAAUCUGGGGGACAUCUCCUCCUGAAGAGGAGAAAAAAAAAAAGUUGUGCACAGGAAUGUUCCUUUUUAAAAAGAAACCCCUUCGGAGGCACAGAACUUGCCUGCCCGCUCUGAAGAAACAAGGUGGAUUAUUUCAGCUCUCUGGGGCUUGGAACGUGUGUGUGCAAGAGCACCCUGAUAGCUGCAAUAAUAAACAUGUCCAGCUGCAAGAGCUCUGCCUAACA